rnacentral:lncRNA from 1 species
UUGUGCCGUGAAGCCCCUCUCUUCUCGUCUUGUUAGCAGCCGCCAACAAAAGAAAAAAGGAGGAGGCGUUGGCUCUCCUUUCUCCCUUCCUUCUUCCCCCAAAAUAAAAAAAGCUGCAACUUGUUGCUCCCUUUUAUUCUUCUUUCUCCAAUCAUUCUUGUUCAAGGGAGAGCAAUCAAGGAGUUGUUUGCUGCAAGAAGAAAGAGAUUUGUCUAUCCAAAGUUAUCUCUGUAAGGGAGUUAGCACCCCGGGAAGAUUCAAAGACUUAGAUCGGUCCUCUGCCUCGUGUGGAUACUCGUAGAGGCCGGACGCAUGUGCAACUUCAAGCGAACCUUCCAACAAAUACCAUAAUCAUCAGAUUGCGGUGAUCAUCUACCCGCGCAAGGUGAAGAUCUGAUCUUUCUAAUCAUGUAAAAAAUAUUUAAUCCUAAUCUAUCUACGAACAUCGGUUUUAAAAUAAGUUCAUGAGAUGAACGGGAUCUCGCGCAUUUUUUCCGCUACGCGCAGAAUUUUUCUGAAAUUUUCUGCGACGUGCGAGGGAUUCCAACAUGAAAUGCAUGGAUUUUCAAAUCAUCUGCAUCUCUGAUUGAGAAAUGGCAACUUGAACUCAUGUUACUAAAAAACACUGUCAUAGAUUAAAAAAACUAUCAUACAAAUAACCUAUAUAUGUAAUAUAAGAUGAGUUCAUCAGAGAACAUUAGGAGAUGUGAAUCAACGCUUAUCAUGGAAAAUCUUGUUUUUUUUAAUUAAAACUUUGUUUUUGAUUUUUAGCAAUUUCAUCUGCCAUUUAUUACAACUAAUUGCAACUAGUCUAGAUCAUAGAUUUUUAUCUAUUGGAUUCACAUGCAUAAGCACGUGUACUAUAACUAUAACUAUCAACAUAACUCCACUUAGUAUAAAACUAAAUGAAAACAAAGCAUAAUACAAAGGAAAAAAAGUAGAAAAAUGAAAUAAUCAUUUUUUGUUUUCCUAAACAAAGAACAAUGCAGUACAACAAAGAACAAUACAUACAUAUUUAUAGACAACUAAACUAAGCCUCAAACUCCAACAAAUUUUAUAUUCCUAAUCCAACUGAAGCUAAAAAGCAGAAAAGACACCAAGAUAAAAAUUAAUCCAUCAUCAACCAAUAGAAAAGAAAACAAAAUAUCUGCUCAAUAACAUCGACUCUAUCUCCAAAGGAAAAAAGAAAUUUAAAAAAAAUGGAGAGAGAAACUCUGAUUAAGGAGCAUUUCUCAGAAGAAAGGAAUAAAAAAGAAGGGAGAAAGUGACAGCGAGCAAAGAAAAAUAUCGAAAUAAAACACCAAAAUUCACCCAAACGAGUGAGAGAGACUUAGAAGAAGAAUCCAAUUUACAAGUAAAUUGAGUAAAUUUGAAGCAAAAAUGUCAAAGAAAGGAGAGAAAAAAUUAAUAGGGGUGGAUAAGUGCGAUCUUGUUCACCCCCCAAUGGUCUUCUCUAAUUGGUGAUCAAGGCGCAAUUAAGGAAAUCCCUUCAAUAGAGAGAAGGGGAAUUCGAGAGCAAGAUCCCGAUGGCGAUCGGAGACAGAAAUCUCGGAAUCACCGGACCUACCAGGAGGCCUAAUGGUGGUAGGGGUGGGGUGGCGCCAGUAAUAUUGAAUUUUUUAACUAUAAAAUUCAUUUAAAUAAAUAAAUAUAUAAUAAAUACUAGAGAAAAUAUUCUAACUUAUUCUUAACAGCCAGGCCCUAGCAAGAACAAAAUAUAGAUAGAAAUGUACAUUAGGAGAUAUAGACAGAAAGCCAACAUACCAUAGAAUUAGAGAAGUUUGAGUUAUGUGGUAGAAUAUAUAAUAGAAUAUAUAACAUUAUAGUCACAAACCUAGCCAGUGGUUCCUUUCGUUUAGGGCUAGCAUCUUAGCCAGGUGGAGAACAAACUCAUAAAAUUGUCUUACAAUGAUGGACAAGCUUGAGAUAAAAGGCCAUAUAUUUGUGCAUGGCUCAAGUAAAGAUUUAGAAAUGCGAGUUGUACAAGCACUUAACCAAUGCUUCAAUCAAGUGUAGUUGAUGAUUGAGAUUGGUCAAGGGCAUAAAGAUAUUUGUAUUAUAUAUUGCAGACUAAGGUAAUGUUCUACUUUAGAGCAAAGGAAGCUAAGAUUAGAAGAAUGAACUAGAUAUAAUUAAACAUAUCACCUUUCCAACUUUUGAUAAGGUUAUGACAAACAUGCGGUUUCAUCAUCAAUUGAAAAGAUAAACAAAAAGUGAAUAAUAUUGUUUAGACAAACCUUUAUGAAUCUAUUUCCUCCCAAAACCCUAGCAACGUAUGUCAAACUUUAUUUAUGGGAAGACUAAUGGGGUUAUUAUUCGAGUUAUGUGAUGAGCAUCCAAUUGUCUGAGCUCUCAACACCUACUAAGGAGACCACCAUCUAGUUCAUAUUUUUUCAUUUAUAUCAUGAUUUCAAAGGAACUCACUUAUUAUUGGUUCUUCUAAUGGACGAGCCUAGAUUUUUCAUCAAGGGGCUUGGCUUUUAAAACAAAAAUUUUACAAAUGAAACUACAAAGUCAAAUGUUUGGUUUGUUGGUUUGUUUCUUUUCAAUAUGUAUAUAACCAUAUAUGAAAAUAGGACUACUAUCAAUAACGAACUAAAAGUUCCAUUCAAACGAUAGAAGAGGUCAUCACUCAAAUUCAUUUAAAAAGACUCAAAAAUUUUAGAGGAUGCUAUGUUUAUAAUGAUUAGACUUGUUCACGAGCUAAAGGCCUCGGCCCACUCAAGCCCGAAGCCUUUUUCGAGCAGGCUUGAGCUAAGGUUGUAGGCCCAUUAUUCUGGAUAGCUUGCUAGAGCCUCCCCAACCUCAAAAUUGUGUAACCCUAGUUUUUCUUAGUAUGAACACUUAAUGGGAGAAGAUCUAGAAUCCUAGUACCUUAUUUUAGUUCAAAGGCGAGCAGGGCUGGGCGCAGGCUUUAGAAAAUUAUGUUAGAGUUCGGCCCAUGAACAAGUCUAAUAUAGAUUCCUAUAUCCUAUCCAUAUCAAAGUUUUAAGAAGCAGCUAAGGGAGGGGAUUAGAGGUCCAGCAAAUUCCAAAACAAAUGAAAAUCAGGAGUCAAUUGCCGUGGCAUGUGAGAUUAGAGAAUAUGGGUGUUGCUAAGAUGUUUGAGGAAAUGCUGGGACUUUUGAUUUCUUGUAGUGCUAUGACCUGGGGCAAAUCGGGCAAUAUUCAGGAUGGGCGAUCAAUUUACAUUGGAAAGUGCUUCAAGGCAUGGUGGCCUUGAAGUGCAACUAAAUUCCUCUAUUUUGAUUGGCAUUUUGAGGGUGAUUAAUUCCUCUAUGGGAAUUUUGAUGUCCUAUUAGGCAAUAAUAGCUAUUAGAUACAAUAUUCGUUGUGAUUUGCAACUUACCUUAAUGGUCACAACUUUUUAUUUAGUAACGAAAUGUUUUAGAUUUGGUGUUUGAGUGGUGCAUCUUCAAAAUUUGGGUAAUUAACAUGGAGGUGCAUCUCCUCCCUUUAGGUUCUUUUUUAGAAAAACUAUGCUUUUAAGAUGUCUAAGAAAAUGCUUAUGGGAACUAUAAUUUCUUGCCGUACCAUGACCUUGGGCUUGUCUUAGUAUGAGUGUUCAAUUUUCAAUUGGAAAGUACUUUUGAGGUACACAAGGGUCGGGUAGAGGCUAACCUAGAACCAACCUGGUCUUGAGAAAUUUAAAAAAUAAACUAUUGAUUUUAUUCAAGAACAAUAUAAUGCCUGAGCCUCAACAAAUAUAAAAAUAAAGCCAUUAUGGAGGACUUUUAGUCAAAAUAACAAAAAAUGAAAUCCAAGAACAAUAAUCUAAUAAUUUAUAUAAAAUUAUAAAAAUACAAAGCUACAAGUUAUGUUUAAUACAAAUUACAAACUAACAAAUAAUGCAAAUUCCAUGUCUUUUUAUACAUUCCAAAAUGUCAAUAGAGCAAAUAAAUAGAUAAGGAGAAGAGAAUUAUAGAUGACAAUAAAGUUAUUCAAAUUUUUAAUACUAGUAUCAGCAAAUAUUAAUCAAACUUAAUUAUGUAAAAUAAAAAGGAAUCCAGAAGCUAAUGAUAAUGAAGGAAAAUCUCUUAUGCUAUAAAGUUCUAUCUGUAUAUAUAGAUCAUAUCAGGUUGGGCCUAGGUUACCCAACCCCUAACUUAGACUUAACCUAAUCAAAUUGGGUUUUGAAAAAUAAAAAUUGGAAUUGACCAGAUUUUAUUGAAAAUGCGAACCAAAGCAACCGAACAAGAUUGAUUUGGUUCAGUUCUUACGUUGAUCCAGACCCAUAUUCAUCCUAAUUUUGAUUAGCAUGCUGAGGAUGAUUAAUUGCUCUAUAUGAAUUCCCAUGUCUUGUUAGGAGAAUAAUAGCUAGCUUGCCUUAAUAGUCAUACCCUUCUUUGUUUAGCAACCAAAUGUUCUGAGUUUGACUUUCAAGUAGUGCAUUUUAGAAAAUAUGGACUUGGAUAAUUAACAUAUAGGCACCGUUUGAUAACCUCAACAGGAUCACCACGGUGAUCUAAGAUUUCCGAUGAUCCGAAUACUGGGGUGAUUUGAUCCCUGGUGAUCUAAGAACAAUGUGUUUGGUAGGUCAUGGUCCAGUGAUUAAAAAUACCCAGAUAUCCAUGAGUAACUUAUUUGGUAUGGUAUGGGAAUCCAAGAUUACUGACUACAUAAUACCACAAAUACCCUUGAUAUAUUUUAGAUAGAUUUUUUAUGUAUUUUUAAUUCUCAUGAAUUAGAAAUGUAAGUCGAUAUACUAAUUCCUAUAAUAGCUCCAUAAUUUUGUCACAUAUUCUACUUUUAGUAGCCCUUAUCAUAUAUUUAUUAAUCAUAUAAAAUAUAUUAUAAUAAAAUAUUAAUAUAUUUAUCAAUAUAUUAAUUAUUGAUAUAUUCUAUAAAAAUAUAUUUAUUACUCCGAUAAAUUAUUAAUCUUAUAAAAAUAUGUUAUUUUUCAUUAUAGAAUUAAUAUUUUUAUUUAUACUUAUAAUAGAUUUUUUUAAUACUAAUAAUUAUUUUGAUUAGAAAAAUAAGAUAAAUAGGAGUAAUAUAGUAAUAUAUUAUAAUAUAAUAUAUAUCAUUAAUAUAAUAUAUAAUAUCAACAUAAUUUAUAUAUAUAUAUAUAUAUAUAACAUUGAUAUAAUAUAUUGAUGGUAUAUUGAUAUAUCAAUUUUUUNNNNNNNNNNNNNNNNNNNNAUGCCUACCCGCACCCUAGGACCGUCGCGGCGGCCCGCCGGGAAUGGGGCGGGGGUCGUGACAAAGAUAAAUAGGAGUAAUAUAGUAAUAUAUUAUAAUAUAAUAUAUAUCAUUAAUAUAAUAUAUAAUAUCAACAUAAUUAUAUAUAUAUAUAUAUAACAUUGAUAUAAUAUAUUGAUGGUAUAUUGAUAUAUCAAUUUUUUUGCGAACUUGAGGAGUAUUUUUGCCUUUAACUUUCAACCCAGGAUCACUGCCCUGGGGUGAUCUUGGAUUUUCGACCUCAAGGGCGAUCUCAUCACCUUCACCUACAUUACCCUUGAUCCUAGGACGACCACUCAUAUCAAACGCCCCAUAAGUGGAUCUCCCUCCCUUUAUUCAAAAAAGAAAAAGAAAAAGGAACUACAUUAGCUGGUUUUGGAUACUAAAACAGUGGCUAUUAUAAAUGCACUGGUUUCGAGGCUUCUUGGUUCCGUGCGAUCUCCAUGCAAGAGACUCCUAAGAAACUAAUAAUAUUAUAAUUUAUAACCCACGUAAUGACCUUAUUUGGCUAGUAUUUUCUCAAAAAAUAAAAAAAGGUUGAAUUUUUUUGGGGAAUAAAACAAUGGCUUCUAUAAUUAUAGUGAAAAAUGGCAUAUACUAAUUGAAAUUAAUAAAACUAUUCUCAAGAUAUUGUUCGUAAAAUAAAAAAAUAAUAAUUCUAACAAGAUAUUGACAUUUGAAUGUACAAUAUGUUACUAAUCCACCGGAACAAUGACAAUGCAUGAUGACAAUUACUAAAACAGUUGCACAGGACACCACUUAUUGAAUAAAUAGUUAUCAUUUUCAGUUAUCAAUGAGAUAUGAAUUUUAAAAACAAAUAUUUAUUAACAUUCAAACUAAAACCAUUGUAAUAUAAUAACAGUUACUAUAGUAGAAUAAUAGCAGGAAUAUUCUUUGCUAUUCAUAUAUCCAUGCUUUCAAUCAUAGAACAACCAUUCUUGUCUCAAAUGGACGCAUGAAUUUUUAGGUAUUAUUUUAAUUGAUAUCUCUAUACUUCACUUUAAGCUCUCUUGGAUUAUGAAUAACUGGAAGCAUUUUGGAAAAAUCAUUAUUAUUUGUUUAUUCUUGCUUUCAAUAAUCUAGUAACCAUUGUUGUCUCAAAAAGGCAUGUAUACAUUUUUAAUUAUUAUUUUAAUUUGCAUCACUCUACUUUAUUUUAAGCUCUCCUUGAUUAGGAACAACUAGAAGGCUAUUAAAUUUCAAUUUUAUCAUCACUUAAACAUGAUAUUUUAUUAUCAAAAUAAACAUAAGUUUCAAUUUAAUAUACAAUUCACGUGCUCUGAUCGAGGGAAUCCGCAGGUACGCUCUAAGUUGGAUAGGCAGUCUUUGCUCCUUGACAUAUGGCGGAUGGUAGAGGAUUGUGGCUCCUUCAGGUCCACUCAUUUUUAUCGGAAGGCUAACACAAUUGCUAACUAGGUGGCCUCCUACACAGCGCAUCACUCGGAAAAUUUUCUUUGGGUGAA